AUAACAAGAUGGUUAUUCAUGACUCAUGUGAUAUGAUUUAUUAACCUUUUGUGCCACUAUAGGUGGAUAUUGCUGCUGGAUGGCAUUCUACUGCACUAACAGAUGAUGGAGAGGUGUAUGGAUGGGGCCGAGGGGAACAUGGUAGACUUGGUUUCGGCGAGAAUGAUAAGAGCAGUAAAAUGGUCCAGCAAAAGGUUCAUCUUUUAGCUGGGGAGGAUAUCGUUCAGGUGUCUUGUGGAGGCACUCACUCUGCUGCAUUAACACGUGAUGGGCGCAUUUUCUCGGUAAGAAACUCUUAAUGCCGUCAUUAAGCUGAAAAAUGCAAGUUCCCAGAAUAUCAAUAACACUAUUGACAGACCUCUGUUGAAACUAAAAAUGACUCUGAAACUUGCAAGAAUGAUCUGUUAUCAGGCUUUCACCUUAGUGUGCAUCUCGGUGACAGUGUUAGGUGUUUAUCAGUUGAUGGUGAGAAUCAUGAAGAUUUGGAUAUCUAUGGUAACACUGAGGAGUA